rnacentral:rRNA from 1 species
AUUGAACGCUGGCGGCAUGCUUUACACAUGCAAGUCGAACGGUAACAGGCCGCAAGGUGCUGACGAGUGGCGAACGGGUGAGUAAUGCAUCGGAACGUGCCCAGUCGUGGGGGAUAACUACUCGAAAGAGUAGCUAAUACCGCAUACGAUCUAUGGAUGAAAGCGGAGGACCGUAAGGCCUCGCGCGAUUGGAGCGGCCGAUGUCAGAUUAGGUAGUUGGUGGGGUAAAGGCUCACCAAGCCAACGAUCUGUAGCUGGUCUGAGAGGACGACCAGCCACACUGGGACUGAGACACGGCCCAGACUCCUACGGGAGGCAGCAGUGGGGAAUUUUGGACAAUGGGCGCAAGCCUGAUCCAGCAAUGCCGCGUGCAGGAAGAAGGCCUUCGGGUUGUAAACUGCUUUUGUACGGAACGAAACGGCUCUGGUUAAUACCCGGGGCUAAUGACGGUACCGUAAGAAUAAGCACCGGCUAACUACGUG